rnacentral:rRNA from 1 species
AUUGAACGCUGGCGGCAUGCCUUACACAUGCAAGUCGAACGGUAACAGGUCUUCGGAUGCUGACGAGUGGCGAACGGGUGAGUAAUACAUCGGAACGUGCCUAGUAGUGGGGGAUAACUACUCGAAAGAGUGGCUAAUACCGCAUGAGAUCUACGGAUGAAAGCAGGGGAUCGCAAGACCUUGUGCUACUAGAGCGGCCGAUGGCAGAUUAGGUAGUUGGUGGGAUAAAAGCUUACCAAGCCGACGAUCUGUAGCUGGUCUGAGAGGACGAUCAAGCACACCGGGACUGAGACACGGCCCAGCAUCCGUCGGGAGGCAGCAGUGGGGAAUGUGGUACAAUGGGCGAGAGCCUAAUCCAGCACUGCGGGGCGCAGGAUGAAGGCCUGCGGGUUGUAAACUGCUUUUGUACGGAACGAAAAGCCCCGGGUUUAUACCCUGGGGUGAUGACGGUACCGUAAGAAUAAGCACCGGCUAACUACGUGCCAGCCGCCGCCGUAA